GUGCCAGCAGCCGCGGUAAGACGGAGGGUGCUAGCGUUGUUCGGAAUUACUGGGCGUAAAGGGCGCGUAGGCGGCUGCUCAAGUCGGGUGUGAAAGCCCGGGGCUCAACCCCGGAACGGCACCCGAGACUGGGCGGCUCGAGACCGGGAGAGGUGGGUGGAAUACCCAGUGUAGAGGUGAAAUUCGUAGAUAUUGGGUGGAACACCGGUGGCGAAAGCGGCUCACUGGCCCGGUUCUGACGCUGAGGCGCGAAAGCGUGGGGAGCAAACAGGAUUAGAUACCCUGGUAGUCC
rnacentral:rRNA from 1 species